GCCCGCCUAGCUCAAUCGGAUAGAGCGUCAGACUCUUAUGGCGGGUGCCCGAUCAUCUCGUGAUUGCGAUCUGAAGGCUGCGAGUUCGACCCUCGCGGUGGGCU